UAAAGUGGCGACCGGGUGAGUAACACGUGACUAACCUACCUCCGAGUGGGGAAUAACUCCGGGAAACCGGGGCUAAUACCGCAUAACAUCGCAAGAUCAAAGCAGCAAUGCGCUUGGAGAGGGGGUCGCGGCUGAUUAGCUAGUUGGCGGGGUAACGGCCCACCAAGGCGAAGAUCGGUAUCCGGCCUGAGAGGGCGCACGGACACACUGGAACUGAAACACGGUCCAG
rnacentral:rRNA from 1 species